rnacentral:rRNA from 1 species
AAUGAGGGGAACUCAGGGAACUGAAACAUCUAAGGACCUGAAGGAAGAGAAAGAAAUUCGAUUCCGUAAGUAGCGGCGAGCGAACGCGGAUUAGCCCAAACCAAUAAAGUUUUCUUUAUUGGGGUUGAGGACAUACCACAUAUAAGAGGUCAUUAUAGACGAAGAAGUUUGGAAAAACUCAUCAUAGAAGGUAAUAAUCCUGUAGUCAAAAUAAUAAUUCUUUAGGUAUGAUCCAGAGUACCACGGGACACGUGAAACCCUGUGGGAAGCAGGAGGGACCACCCUCCAAGGCUAAAUACUACCUAGUGACCGAUAGCGUAUAGUACCGUGAGGGAAAGGUGAAAAGAACCCCG